GAUGAACGCUGGCGGCGUGCCUAAUACAUGCAAGUCGAGCGAACGGACGAGAAGCUUGCUUCUCUGAUGUUAGCGGCGGACGGGUGAGUAACACGUGGAUAACCUACCUAUAAGACUGGGAUAACUUCGGGAAACCGGAGCUAAUACCGGAUAAUAUUUUGAACCGCAUGGUUCAAAAGUGAAAGACGGUCUUGCUGUCACUUAUAGAUGGAUCCGCGCUGCAUUAGCUAGUUGGUAAGGUAACGGCUUACCAAGGCAACGAUGCAUAGCCGACCUGAGAGGGUGAUCGGCCACACUGGAACUGAAACACGGUCCCGACUCCUAAGGGAGGGAGCAGUAGGGAAUCCUCCGCAAUGGGCGAAAGCCUGACGGAGCAACGCCGCGUGAGUGAUUAAGGUCUUCGGAUCGUAAAACUCUGUUAUUAGGGAAGAACAUAUGUGUAAGGAACUGUGCACAUCUUGACGGUACCUAAUCAGAAAGCCACGGCUAACUACGUG
rnacentral:rRNA from 1 species